rnacentral:rRNA from 1 species
AGGAUGAACGCUGGCGGCGUGCCUAACACAUGCAAGUCGAACGUCCUGUCUCGCAAGAGGCAGGGAGUGGCGGACGGGUGAGUACCACGUGGGUUAUCUACCGUGAGGUGAGGAAUACCGGCGAGAAAUCGCCGACAAGACCGCAUAGGCUCGAUGCAAGUCGAGCAAAGCUCGCUCGCAAGAGGGAGCGCCACACGAGGAGCCUGCGCCCGAUUAGCUGGCUGGUGGAGUAAUGGUUCACCAGGGCGACGAUCGGUAGCUGGUCUGAGAGGACGAUCAGCCACACUGGGAUUGAGAACGGCCCAGACUCCUACGGGGGGCAGCAGUGAGGAAUUUUCGUCAAUGGGGGCAACCCUGAACGAGCAACGCCGCGUGCAGGAAGAAGGUUUCGGAUCGUAAACUGCUUUUCGUCGGGGAAGAGAACGGACGGUACCCGAGGAACGAACGCCCGGCUAACGUACGUGCCAGCAGCCGC